rnacentral:rRNA from 1 species
GACGAACGCUGGCGGCGUGCCUAAUACAUGCAAGUAGAACGCUGAAGGAGGAGCUUGCUCUUCUGGAUGAGUUGCGAACGGGUGAGUAACGCGUAGGUAACCUGCCUGGUAGCGGGGGAUAACUAUUGGAAACGAUAGCUAAUACCGCAUAAGAGUAGAUGUUGCAUGACAUUUACUUAAAAGGUGCAAUUGCAUCACUACCAGAUGGACCUGCGUUGUAUUAGCUAGUUGGUGGGGUAACGGCUUACCAAGGCGACGAUACAUAGCCGACCUGGGAGGGUGAUCGGCCACACUGGGACUGAGACACGGCCCAGACUCCUACGGGAGGCAGCAGUAGGGAAUCUUCGGCAAUGGACGGAAGUCUGACCGAGCAACGCCGCGUGAGGGAAGAAGGUUUUCGGAUCGUAAAGCUCUGUUGUAAGAGAAGAACGAGUGUGAGAGUGGAAAGUUCACACUGUGACGGUAUCUUACCAGAAAGGGACGGCUAACUACGUG